rnacentral:rRNA from 1 species
UACGGGGGGGGCAAGCGUUGUUCGGAAUUACUGGGCGUAAAGGGCUCGUAGGCGGCCAACUAAGUCAGACGUGAAAUCCCUCGGCUUAACCGGGGAACUGCGUCUGAUACUGGAUGGCUUGAGUUUGGGAGAGGGAUGCGGAAUUCCAGGUGUAGCGGUGAAAUGCGUAGAUAUUGGGAGGAACACCAGUGGCGAAGGCGGCUCACUGGACCGGUACUGACGCUGAUGCGCGAAAGCGUGGGGAGCAAACAGG